GAUCAUCUCCUCCUCCCGUUUUGUUUAGUACUAACAGUACGUAAUCGUCGUUCAUCUGAUGACCAACAAGUUCAGAGUUCAAGACAUCUCUACAUAUGAGUUCAACGAGUACGUCAUGUGUUUCUUUUCACCAAAUGGUCCUUGUUAAUUAGUUCUUUCUUUCUUUCUUUCUUUCUUUCUUUCUUUCUUUCUUUCUUUCUUUCUUUCUUUCUUUGUGUCAUCCCUGGAAUAAUAAUACUUGCGCAUAUAAAUGCAAAUGCAGAUGCUCUUGCAAUA
rnacentral:precursor_RNA from 1 species